rnacentral:rRNA from 1 species
UACGAAGGGGGCUAGCGUUGUUCGGAAUUACUGGGCGUAAAGCGCACGUAGGCGGAUCUGUAAGUUGGGGGUGAAAUCCCGGGGCUCAACCCCGGAACUGCCUUUGAAACUGCGUAGCUAGAAUCUUGGAGAGGCGAGUGGAAUUCCGAGUGUAGAGGUGAAAUUCGUAGAUAUUCGGAAGAACACCAGUGGCGAAGGCGACUCGCUGGACAAGUAUUGACGCUGAGGUGCGAAAGCGUGGGGAGCAAACAGG